ACGGGUGAGUAACGCGUGGGAACGUGCCCUUCGGUUCGGAAUAACUCAGGGAAACUUGAGCUAAUACCGGAUACGUGCGAGAGCAGAAAGAUUUAUCGCCGAAGGAUCGGCCCGCGUCCGAUUAGCUAGUUGGUGAGGUAAUGGCUCACCAAGGCGACGAUCGGUAGCUGGUCUGAGAGGAUGAUCAGCCACAUUGGGACUGAGACACGGCCCAAACUCCUACGGGAGGCAGCAGUGGGGAAUAUUGAACAAUGGGCGCAAGCCUGAUCCAGCCAUGCCGCGUGAGUGAUGAAGGCCCUAGGGUUGUAAAGCUCUUUCGCCAGGGACGAUAAUGACGGUACCUGGAUAAGAAGCCCCGGCUAACUUCGUGCCAGCAGCCGCGGUAAUACGAAGGGGGCUAGCGUUGUUCGGAUUUACUGGGCGUAAAGCGCACGUAGGCGGAUCUUUAAGUCAGGGGUGAAAUCCCGAGGCUCAACCUCGGAACUGCCUUUGAUACUGGAGGUCUCGAGUCCGGGAGAGGUGAGUGGAACUGCGAGU
rnacentral:rRNA from 1 species